AAAUCACCAGCUCUGCUGUAAUGUCAACACGCUGGGCCCCACGGCAACAGGCUCAUUCUGAAAAGGACUCACAAACACCUUAAGGCUCGUGAAAGAGAAACAGCAUCGUCUGGGCCCCGAACAGCUGUCCAGCAGUCACGACUGCCUGUUACGGGGUCAGCAGAGGAACCAAGGAUAUCAUGGAACUGACCUGAGUCUAACUUUUACCACACUGUAGCCAACACGAUGGUUCUCACCAUGCUGUCGCCCCAGGGAAAGACUUCAUGGAGUGAAGUACAGAUCAAGGGGGGUCUCCUAUAUGCUCUUUAGUCAUGCUUCGGAGUAUAUCAGCGCAGUUCUGCGUCUCAAGCCUUGAGGACUGAAGCUGAAGCAGACCCUUUGGGACAACAUAACUACGUAAAUCAACUGAACUGUCAUCCCCACCCUUGCAACAUCAAUCACCGUAGGAGACUUUCCCCUCUCUUAUGCCUACCCAGGGUCUAGCGAGGUCCUAGGGUGGAUACAGGGAAGCCAGUUUCUCAAAUGACCAUUUCAAAGCCUGAAUUGGUGGCCCCAAUUUUUAAGUGCUUUCUGAAAGGCAGG